GGCAUUCCUGGGACAUGUGCCACGUGGAGGAGGUGGUGGUUGGAAUCUCGGAGGAGGGGGUGGUGGUUGGGAUUUCGGAGGAGGGGGUGAUGGUGAGUUGUUCGGUGGAGAUGUUGGUGAAGAAGGCGGCAGUGUUGUUGUUGGUGGAGGCGACGGUGGUGUAGUUGGAGGACGCACUGGUGGAGUCACGGGUGGUGUGUUUGGUGGAACCGUUGGUGGAGUUUGUGGUGGUGUGUUUGGAGGAGUUUCCGGUGGUGUGUUUGGAGGUGUCUGUGGAGGUGUGUUUGGUGGAAGCGUUGGUGGAAUUUGUGGUGGUGUGUUUGGUGGAAGCGUUGGUGGAGAUUGUGGUGGUGUGUUUGGAAGAGCUUCCGGUGGUGUGUUUGGUGGAAGCGUUGGUAGAGUCUCUGGUGGUGAGUUUGGAGGAGUUUGCGGUGGUGUCUCCGGUGGUGUGUUUGGUGGAAGCGUUGGUGGAAUCUGUGGUGAUUGGUUUGGAGGAGUUCCCGGUGGUGUGUUUGGAAGUGUCUCCGGUGGUGUGUUUGGAGGCGUUUCCGGUGGAGUGUUUGGAGGACUUUGUGGGGGUGUGUUUGGUGGAGUUUCCGGUUGUGUGGUUGGAGGAGUUUCCGGGGGUGUGUUUGGAGGAGUUUCUGGUGGUGUGGUUGGAGGUGUCUUUGGUGUGUUUGGAGGAGUUCCCGGUGGUGUGUUUGGAGGUGUUUCUGGUGGAGUAUUUGGAGGACUUUGUGGGGGGGUGUUUGGUGGAGUUUCUGGUGGUGUGAUUGGAGGAGUUUCUGGUGGUGUGGUUGGAGGUGUCUCCGGUGGUGUGUUUGGAGGAGUUCCUGGUGGUGUGUUUGGAAGUGUCUCUGGUGGUGUGUUUGGAGGAGUUCCCGGUGGUGUGUUUGGAGGUGUUUCUGGUGGAGUAUUUGGAGGACUUUGUGGGGGGGUGUUUGGUGGAGUUUCUGGUGGUGUGAUUGGAGGAGUUUCUGGUGGUGUUGUUGGAGGUGUCUCCGGUGGUGUGUUUGGAGGAGUUCCUGGUGGUGUGUUUGGAAGUGUCUCCGGUGGUGUGUUUGGAGGAGUUCCCGGUGGUGUGUUUGGAGGUGUUUCUGGUGGAGUAUUUGGAGGACUUUGUGGGGGUGUGUUUGGUGGAAUUUCCGGUGGUGUGGUUGGAGAAGUUUCCGGUGGUGUGUUUGGAGAAGUUUCUGGUGGUGUGGUUGGAGGUGUCUCCGGUGGUGUGGUUGGAGGUGUCUCCGGUGGUGUGUUUGGAGGAGUUCCCGGUGGUGUGUUUGGAGGUAUUUCCGGUGGAGUGUUUGGAGGACUUUCUGGGGGCGUGUUUGGUGGAGUUUCUGGUGGUGUUGUUGGAGGUGUCUCCGGUGGCGUGUUUGGUGGAAGCGUUGGUGGAGUCUGUGGUGGUGUGUUAGGAGGUAUUUCCGGUGGUAUGGUCGGAGGUGUCUGUGGUGGUAGGGUUGGUGGACCUGUUGGUAAAACUUCCGUAG
rnacentral:lncRNA from 1 species